GUAAGAACCUCUCCUUGUAUUUAACCAAUGGACCUAUUAAUUUUCUAAUAAAGCACAACCCUUGGGUCACUUCAGGCCAUUUUUUGUGAUUUGCAUUGGAUGUUCUUCGAGACACAACAUUCAUCCAAUAAUAAUUAAAAUGAUAUACUGUACUAUUAACAUUCUCAAAUCUUUAAAGCAAAGUGAUCUAUCCCUGCAGCACUGGCUUUGCUGACUAAUUAAACAGAAUACAGUUGUAAAUGGCUAUUGUAAGCACUUCUCCCAUUUAAGAACACAGCUCUAGCAAGUGUAGUUCAUAGAGAUGGGUGAGUUAUCAGGAUUGAUCUGCCCUAAAGAGGUGGAUGUACCACAAACAGCAGGUUUCAUUUAAAUGCCCUCUCUGAGAUUAAUCUGUCUGCUAGCAGUUUGUUUACAAGGUUGCCUUUUCCCCUCCUACCAACUCUAUCAGCAGAGCAAUAAUAGUACUAUGCUAGUCAUAGACAGGAAAAAAAGAAUACUUACCGAGGUUAGUGGGGGAAAGAAAAAGAGUUACAGUGCAUUGUGUCUGCGCAUCAUGUUUUCCUGAAUAUGAGUCAGCAAAAACUGGAACAGAAACAUCACUGUGAAGAAGCAGGAGCAGCAACAGCAUUACUCUAUUCCACCCAGCAACAACACAGUGAAUCCCAAUCACUGAGAAGUGAAGGGCUGACUUCACCCCCUCCUCCCCCCCCAUCCCUUCCUUAUUAAGAGGAUAUUCCUCCCUAGUAUUGAGCUUUGAUGUCAUCUUUGAGCAUCAAAAUGAAAACCGGGAUUGGAUGACAUUAUUUUUUACCACAGAUCCAAACAUCCCUGAUUCACUCAAUAUAUGGGGAUGAUACAAAUGGCUCAUCCUACCUCUGUCAAACAGCAAGGAGCAAAUACAGCUCCCAGAAGAGUGGAGGGCAUUCUGGACUCCAAUGCAUAUGUGCUCUUCUUCAGAGAAAACAAACUUAGAUAAACUUUAGAUGCAUGAACCCAAGAUGAAACAAGCUUUUGGCACCAACUGAAUGCUGAGCAUAAAGGCAGCCAGAAGGUGUAGAUUUAAAUGUCUAAUAUACACUUAUAUUUAAUUAUGCUGACCUAAUCUUUCAGGGAAAAAAGAAAAAAAAAACAACAACUCUGCAAUCAACUUAAAUAUCCAAUAAAAUAGUAAACUUCAUCUGCACCUUUGAUGUUUAGAAAAGCUACCUUCAGCAUCUUCUCCCACUUGUAAUGCCAGGAACAAAAUUCAAAAAAUAUCUAUCUGCAACUACUUUUGAGAAUCUGCCACAGGGCUUACACUGCCCUGAGGCUUUCUCUACUUUAUUCUCUUAAUAUGAAUAAAAGAAAGAACCAACCCAAAAUACUACCUAGAAUCUUCCUGGAGAUGGGAAAGAAUAAGGGUAGAUUCUAUCUCCACUUCUAUAUACAAUAGAACACAGAUAAUUAUUAUUUUUUUUUAAAUGUUUCAUCUGACUAUCUCUCUCUCUAAUUAAUCUGUUAAAUGAGAUAUAAUUCCAAGGUGGAACAUCUGAACUCCAGCUAACAAGUUCAGAUUUACACCCCAAAGUCUACUUGAACACUGUUUUCUUAUGUGUUCUAAAAAAUAUUGUACACUGAAUCGGUGAAAUAACUAAUUCUGCCGCGUUUAUGUGCCAAAUCAUGCUGCAGACUGUAUAAUUUAGACUAUGAAGAGAUUAAUAUGCUGUGAGUAAAUAAACUUUGCAAGGUUGUAUCUUAUUAAUUUCCAUUUGUCUGAAUCAGAAGUUAGGGUAAUUGGCAAGCAUAGAACUCAGAUACCAGGAAUUUUACUCCAAGAAUGAUCAUUAGAAUACAACAUUGUGCAUAAUCCUAGUUUUGGUUGUUCUCUCUCCAAAGCACCGCAGGUAUAUCUUGCCAUAUAAUCAUAGGCUCCAUAGAGUUGGACUAGAUGACCUUUAAAGGUCCCUUCCAACUCCCCUGCUAUGAACAGGGACCCCUACAGCUAGAUCAGGUCGCUCAGAGUCUGGUCCAGCGGGGCCUUGAACGUCUCCAGGAACGGAGCAUCCAACACGUCUCUGGGCAACCUGUCGCCCUGUCUUCCAAUUACAAAGAGGACAGUGGAUGGGUGUUGUAAGGUAAUACAUGGUCUCAAGCUAUGCCAACACGUUUCUACCAGUCAGUCAUAAUAUUCUGUUCUCCACUUCUAAUUUUGCAGCAAUUUGCUACAAAAUGAACAUUUUCUAGUAGUCCAACAGAACAUUAGAUAAGAGGAUAUAUAUUUUUCUAAUAUUUAAUCUCUCUGGAGCUUCAUUUUUUUCAGCAAAUUUUUACAGGCAGCAUUUUUCUUUGAAGGGAAGGAGUUUAAAAAGCCAUUUUGCAUAGUCAAUUGGGCUUAGAGCUUUAGCACAACAAAAAUACAGUAAGAUACAGAGUGAUACUGAAAUGGAUUAAAAUGUAUCACUUAUAGGCAAGUGUGCACGCAUAUUUCCUUUUUAUUCUGUUUUUCUUUAUUCAUAGUUUCCCAAAAUUUCAUCUAGUACAUCAGAUUGAAUUUUUCCAGGUUCAGCUGGUGCCUGAAGGUGAAUGUCUAUUGAACAGUUCAGACAAGGAUUGAGAUACUUAAAUUGGAAAGCGGGAACAAAAGCAUGGGCUUUCCAAGAAAACAGAGAGAUCAAUAGAUACCUUUCAGGAGAAUUGCAUUCUGUAUUUAUAGCGAGGGUAUAAGGAAGAACAACACAGUCUAUUUCAAAUGGAAACACGUAAAUUCUUGUUCCAAGACAACAAUCUUACUUUCCCAAGAUUGGACAAAAUAACUCCUAUUGGCUCUCUUUUAUUUACAAAUCAACAGGUUAACAAAGAGACAAGAAAAGACCUUAUAGAAGCUUCUUCUGUGAGAGGCACAUUGUGCUAUUUCACUUCAUGAAGAAAGUGUUGGAAGAGUUUGCUGCUCCAACUGAGAGUCUGUUGCAGGCUUUAUUGAAUGCCUGUUGCUCACUUUGGACCUCCUUUCUUAGGUUAAAUCUGUGUGAAGCUUUCCAGGCAGAAGCUGCUUCAAAUUUCACAGUGAAUUCAUCUGUCAGUCCAAUACAAUGAACAUUUCAGUAUAACUGACAUACUGAUGGCUAAGGAAAGAAGACAACUAAGCUGGAAGAAUAAUAAACAGAGCGCUGUGAGAGAUGGAAGAGAAGAAAAACAUGGUGGGAAGAACUGAGGCAGUGAGGCUAAGUUGCAAAUGAGCAGACAAGUAAUAGCUUGGUGUUUCACCACAAUAUCAAAUGAACUUUCAGAACUUUUCAGAAGUCAAAUGCAUUUAAAAUAAUUAACGAGUUUGCUUUAAAAAGCAUAUGCAUCUUCUCUCUUGUCUGUUAAGCCAGAAUGAUACAAGGAGAGAUUGUGAAGAAAAUUAUAUCUACAGGCAUUGUUUUUUUGUUAUUGUUGUUAAAAAUAUUUCCACAUUAAGUGGCAAAAGAAAAAGAAAGAAAAAAAUGUAUUCAUGUUCUUUGAGCCUAACAAUUUCUGUGAAUCUUAAGAUCACUCUUGAGGACCAACUCUACAGAUCAUCAUCAAGAGGUAAAAAAAGAUCACACCUGGAAAGAUCUGAAAAAUUCUGUUUUCUCAUUUAGCAUGCCUCCCUGCUAAACAUACGUGUCAAUCCUUGCAUAGCACCCCGAGCAAUCCAGCUUUACUCAUAGUGUCUGCAUAGACGCCAAUACUGUUUGUGUUCAACACAAACAAAAUCAAAAACUUUAAGUUCACUUGGGGCUGAGAAGGACCUUAAUACCUUUGAAGCUAUUAGUGUGACUGAAAUGGAUGAGACCAAACAGGAUACACAGCUGUCACCAAAACCCACAAACUGAGCACUAUGUAGUGUUGCUGAUAUAAACCUCAUUUACAUGAGAGCUAACACAUGACUCUGAGAGAAGGCACAUGGACCACUGGGUUUGAGGUACGUGAUCAUGUCCUUAUCUUGCACUGCUCAGCAGACUGUAUUUUUGCACCCUGCUUCCAGAGGUUAGCAUAAGCAUGGAAAAUUCUUUUACACAUUUAAUUACACUCUUACAUCUAGAGGCCCUUUGCUCCGUUUAUCAGAGUCCAACUCACUGUCUAUAGAAUUAUUAUCAGACAAAUCCCUGUCUCUUCCUUCUAAGUAAAAGGUUUAAGAGAUUAGAAAGUAGAAGAGAAGCCAUAUACAGCUAAUGGAGGACAAGCCUCCAAAUGUUUGGAGGUUUAUUUCAGAGAUACAUAUCUACAUACUCUUAUUUUUUAACAGAAGAACAGAUACAGAGUCCAAUUUUGACUUGCUUGAACAGAGGACAGGAUAAGAAAGAACACUCUGAGAUAUUACCCUUCUGAAGUCUCUAGCUGAACAGAAGAAAUAAUGUGUUUCCCAGCAAUAAAGAGUAGUUAGGUACUGAAUGUCAAAAUUGUAAUGUUCUGAAGUUCCCGGCAGCUCUACCUGCUUGAACCCCUGCUGAACCUCCCCACGCUACCUCCUUGAGCCCCAGGCAAAGGCCCUGCUACAAUUGAUAUCUGUAGUCCUAAAUCCUUGUCAUACCCAGAAGGUGCUAGCAAUCUGCCAUUAAACUCCAGUAACACUAGGCCAACAUUUUACCCUCGGUUAUGCUCACAGAGCUUCCUUUAGUGCAAUUUGACCAACAUUAAAAAUGGAGAGCAAGAACAUCAUCAGCUAUCAACGCUAUGUUUGCCACACUGCAAGCCUUCUCAGCUAAAGCACCACCAGCCUCACUACUUUUAGUUGUUCCAAACUAGAUUCCAACAGCUAGUGGAGGUAUUGUACUAAUUAAGAUUUCGAGAGUAGAAAGCGAAAUCAUCCUGUCUGACCUCACACUUGGCAUAUUACAGUUCCUUGCUUUCCUACACGAGAUUGUAUUGAUAACAACCAAUUGCCAGUAGGGAUCUGAGGCAGCGAGGUAAAUAAAUAUAUAAAUGCCUCCAUAUGUGUUCUCCACUUCCUUAAGCAAAAAUAAUGAGUCAAAUGAGUGAAAGAUCUGCAGCUCUCUUUUGUAUAUAGUUGCUGUACAUAUACCAACAUGGAAGAAGCCUUCCACAGACUUCUGUCAUCACUCUGUGUGAAAAAGCUCUUUUAAAGGAACAGCUACCAAUAGGCAAGUGAGCCAGAAUACUUUUGUGCAGGAAUGUGCGUUUCUCACAUAGCUCAGGCUACCAAAAGGAAUACAAAUAUUUGCAGGAGUAGAAAAAGAUGCAGAAAGGACAGUGAAUCCUCUCACUGCUGAAACACCCUAAGUAGAAGCAGUGGAGACUCCAAGGAGAAGAAGAGUCUGGAGAAAUCAGCAACUUAAGAGUAACAGUGAAUGAGAAGAAGAGACUGGGAGAGGGAAGAAAAAGGCCUCUGGAUUUCCACCAGAAUUAAACUGGAGAAAUGGGAGCAGGAGGGGCACAGGAGAAGCAGGUUAAAGAGAUUUUGCUCCUAUCUUCGUCAGCAAAGAGGGAGUAGGAAACAAGACCCGGACAGCAUUUCUCCCAAGUCUGCUGCUCUAGGCAACUGUUUACUUUGCUUUUGCCCAAGAUAGCGUGAGACGUUAUAAAAUGAGUUUCCACAAUGCUCUGAGUCACCAGAAUAUGGAUGAGAUCUGUGGAUUCAAGCCACCUUUCAAGAUUAUGAAUCUCUUCUGAAUAUCCAUUAUGCCAAUGAUACAUAACAAAAUCACUGCUGUAAUGUGAUGCACAUGUCAACUUUAAGGAUACAGUCCCUGCUCAGAUGGCAUCAGCAUAGGGAAACGUCAGCAUGGUGGAUUACCAGAGCAAAUGCUUUAACAUGCAAUGUGAUGCAAUGUGUUUUAACAACAAUUGUUCCCUUAUGUUUGUUUGUGUCAGGUUUGACGUGACUAUCCGCCAGGACAAUGCUCAGGAUUCUGUGUGUUGCAUUGCAGAAACUGAUUAUGUGAUCAAAUGCUUAAAGCACAUAAAAUCACGCCCAAGAUUCGAUGAGAUAUAUAUGCCAGAAAAUUCAGUAGGUGCUUAAAGUAAUUGACGCUAACAGCUAGACCUGGGUUUUUCAAAGGAAUAAGCGUUUUUGUUUGUUUGUUUUUCCUAAUGCAAUAUAAUAUAAACUGCCUAGAAAUUCAGCCUUAGCAUAAUGUUCAGAUCAAAUGAAAUUCACCCGUUAAGAAAGAACAUACACAGGGUCCUCCCUGAAGUGGAAAAGACAGCCUCUGAGUAGAACAGAUACCCUGGGAGACUUCUUACCCUGUGCACAUGCCCAAAAAGACAGCUCUGAAUCUAACUGCAUUGUAGAUCUAAUGCUUGUAGGAUUUGGAGGCUCAACGCUGAGCUGUAGCUCUCAGCAGCCCUUUUUCCCCAGUCCGUGAAACUCAGAAUCCAGUGGAGACAAAAACCUCUAUAGAAAUACUGUAUAUGUAAAUGGACUUAGAAGAAAAAGGGAGGGGUACCUGCUCUUAAAUUAGUCAUAUUUAAAAUGUAUUCUCAGAACACACUGAACUAUCAAACAGUCCCCAAAGUGAAGAAAUGUGAUUCUCAUUCAAGACUUAAGAGCAAAAGGCAAAACAACUGUGUCCCUUGCUCCAAAGUCAUUAUCUCACAUUAAGACUUCAUCCUGUUCUCCCAGUUCAGAAUUUAGUCUGGUUCUAAUGGCUCACUAGACAGUUUUGCAAGAUCUUCAUGCUCUCAUAGGUAUUUAGGCACUGAAAUCAGUGAGAAGUGGUACCUGUACACUUUCAGAAAUCUGUCUUUAAUUUCAACAUCCCAUAAAUUUUUUUAACAAAAACAUCCUUCAUCUUUUCUGCUUCACAAGUGAGUUGUGAAGCUUAAUUACACAAUGAUUAUGAAGUCCAGCAAAUACAACAUAUAUUAAGAGUAGUUAAUGAGAUUUCUGUCACAAGCAGACUCCCUCUUGUAAAAUAUUACUCACAUGUUGCAGGAAAAAAAACUCAAGAGAAAAAAAUACAGAUGCAUUAAAUAUAAAACAAAUCUAGCUUGAUUACUUCCACAAAUAAUAUGUUAUACAACUCUAAAACAUCUGUCAGGACAGCAUAGAGAAUAGCAUAGGCUUUUCUGACCAGAAUGGAAUCCUGUCAGCACGGAAUUCUGUCAGCACAUCCAUGUACUCAUUUUUACCUGCAGUGCCCAUCCAAGACAGGGCCUCCAGACCCACACACGAUCUGCUUCCCAUGAGAUCUAGUGGCUUAAAUACCUUCAAAGACCAGACAUGAAGUUCUGUUCCUUCAAAUCACAGAAUCAUGGAAUCAUAAAAUGGCUUGGGUUGGAAGGGACACCCAAGGAUCAUCAAGUUCCAAUCCCUCUGCUGCAGGCAGGGCCACCAACCUGUGGUGGUUGUAAAUAUUUCCCAAAAAGAUGCCAGCAUACUAACCAAUUACCACAUUUAACAGCACAGUGGAAGAUGGCUAGACAACUAUGAGCAGACAGACGAUCGUACAGAAGGCAUUGCUUGCAUACUUAGUGAUUUCUCAGGCCAUAACAAAGCAUACAGCCUAACUAGGGUAGGAGGACUCAAAAGAGGAAGACCAUUCCUUAAUAAUACAGAGCUCUUUGGCACAUUUCUUUUCUGUGAACAAACAGUGUAGCUGUUAAAAUACAUUUCCUGUUAGCAAUUAUGGCUCAGAGCUCACAGACGCUUUUACAGAACUUGGACAGGAGUGAUUUUCAGUACAUAGUGUCUCUAACAGCAAGUUAUAUUAAUAUUCACCAAAGGAAAACCUGUUUGUUGACCCAAAGUGUGACUGCUUACAAUUCUCUUCUUGUGAAAUUAUUUAGGUCCUGUGGGACAACUGUACUGAGCUUUUGACGCAAAUAUUAAAAUUCUAUUUAAAUGUACAAUGUUUUAAUGCAAAUUUUUACCAUAAAACCAAAUGCUCCAUUCAGUUAAAUUAAUAGAAUUACAAAAAGAUGUAAUGAUAGCAAUUAAGUCUUGAAAAUGCAAAUUUUAUAGUCAAGGACAAUUACCUCAUUUAUAGUAUCCUGGAAUGAUGCCAGAUGAAGGUAAUUUAGAUCUCCCUAGCUCACAGUUAUAUCAUGAAGGAUAUCUUAAUUUCAUUAGUACAACAAAGAUGGGUGAGAACUUGGACAAUAUGAAAAAAAAAAGGGAGGGAGAGAUGGGAGAGAAAAUUUGACCUUUCUCAUUUCACCGCAACUAGAAUACAUAGAUCUUACUAAAGGAUUAGUAAUAUUUCUUUCUAUUCCUAUCUCUGGGGAAAAAAAGGGGGGGGGGGGGGGCACUUUUUUCUUUUCUUUUUUUUUAUUAGCAGCAAUGGAACAUUAGUAUGAAAAAGGUCAACUCCCUUCAGAUUCUUAGAGCCACUAUGCCCACAUCACAACAGUUAUGGACCAUUCCUUCUUUCAGUUUUAAGGAUGAAUACAGCAUUGGCUCUUGGCUGACAGAGUAUCAAGCUAUGGCCUAGGGACACAUGGUUUUGACUCCAAUAUGAUUUAAAAUGUUCUUGAAAAAUUCUUCUUGCUCUUACAAAUACAGCCCCACUUCAUCCAAAGAGGCAAGUCAAAAAUCAUCAGUUUCUCAUUAGCAAGCAAAGAGUGAUCAAGUAGACAAAGAAUACAGAUUGAUAUGCCAUAGAUUCAGUAGUCUCCUUUGAAGGAAAAACAAAACCAAACUCUCAUACAAGUUCUUUAGCACAUUAUCAAGUUCAAAUAGGAGUUUGCAAUACUGCAGAUAUCCCUCUUCCUUUCCUUUCUCUUUGCUGUAGUAGCUACCCUUGACCCUUGAAGAGAUUUCAAAAAAAAAGCAUAUUAAAUAAGGUGCACCAUAAAGUUUAAUUUUAAAACUUUACAACUCUCAAUUUUUCUUCCUGGCCUGUUGUAGCCACUGCAAAGAAACUCAACUUCCAGAAAAAUAGCUGCAUCCACCUAAAAUCUUCUUACAUCAAAUUCCCUUACCAAACCUAACAUGUAGGCUCUGGAGAGAGCGGAAACCUCCAAGGACAGAGUAGCAAACUUCACCUCUCUCCUUAUCUUGAACACAACUAACAAAGAUAACAUGAAAAAGCCUUCCCAAGAGUAGAAAUAUCUGCUUACCGUCAGCAUUUGGUGGUUUUGCUGUAGAUGGUGCAUGCUGAAGCCAUCCCAACCUCCUGCUGACAAACCUUUCCUUAACACCCUGAGAUAGGCAGGUUCUAGAGGAUCGGCUUUAUAACUUCGAACAGCACCACAUAGCGACAGGAAUGCAGCAUUAGAAACCCCCAACACUCCUCAGAAAGGGUUUCUUCCAUCCAGUUAUUCUGUUUUAUGAAAAACAAGCCUUUUCUGAAGGAAAAAGUACCUUAAUUUUUCAUGUCAACGAUGCUAUCAGUCACCUCUGCCGCUUGAAAACAAUGGAUGACACUCUGGCUCAAGGAAAGCCACCUGCUUCCUUUGGGGUUAAGACGUCUUUUGGUGAAUUUCAUCUCCUAUCAAGCAAUAGCAAAAUUAGAGCUUGUACCACUAUUGCCUUCGUUCCGUGCUUUUGAUGCUUAUAAUCCCAUUACACCUGACAACUUAACCUGAGCUUGUUAUUCAUAGACAUGUAUGGUCUGAUGAAACAUUCCCAACUCCUGAAAAAUCUUUUUGUGUGUUGUUGGGAGAUUUGGCCUAAUAAGAAGUGCUUGAGUGGGUGUAGACUGGGUAUGUUUGUGCCAUAUUAUACAAUAUGGCUUAAAUUUCCAUGGCAUUUUAUUGGAAAGUGUGAACCUGACAAGCUAAUAGUUUGUGAAUCUGUUGAGUCUCUGCUGUUGCAUGGAGAAACGUUUUGUCUAGGCUAUUCCCAGUAUGCUUCAAUUGUAAAAAAAACAGGCUGCGAUCAUAACACAUCUUCAUGUAAAUCAAAGUAAAUUUCUGCAGGACAAUAUUUACCACUGUUAUGUACCGCAGAUCUCCCAAUUCCUCAUUUGACCUAACAGUCGGAAUGAUCUCAGGCCAGCAAUAAGCUGAAUACUGGUUGCUAAGUAAUAUUUAAUUUAAGCAUGAUGUUGUGGUCAACAAAAUGAAUUAGCAUUUUCUGCAUUAAUGAAGAUCCAGGCCUAAAAUCAAAUGAUGAUGUCAAAAAAUUAUGGAAAAUAUUAUUGAUCUAAUUCUUCCUUUUAUUACACUGACAGAGAAACAUGCUUCUUGGAAAUGUUACAUGUGAAGGAAGAAUUUUUCCUAUUGCAUCUUCUUUCAAGAGAUUCAGUUUUCUACUCAGGACUCCAAGAGAGUAAUUUACAUUUGUGAUCACCCAGCCAAUUCAAGGCAACUGUGGAAAGAAACACUAGUAAGAAUUCAUUUUGUUGAUCUUAUCAUAAAUGUGAGAGAGAUUUAACUUUAUCCUAAAUUCCACUAAAACCUAGAAUGCAAUAAAGAAAUAAUCAUACAUGAAUUUGAGUCAGUACUGUUCCUCAUCAUUAGGCCACCUGACAAGCUAGAAAGCAACUUCGCUAGUGCAUAUUCAUUCCAAAUUAAUACAGUAAUUCUGAAAACUGUUUCUUUUUUCCCCUACUUUUAUGCAUUUAUUGCUUUAUUUCUCUAUUGCUAUUUCCAGUCCAUAAUGCAAUGCAGCUUGUGGAAUGUAAUCCCCUUUCUUCUCCUGACCAAACUCCACUCUGAAUGCUGCAUGGAUGGGAUCCUUUCUUUUCUGUUUUUUUAAUGUUUUUCUUCUCACUUUACAUAUUCUCAAAAAUGAGAUGAAUUUCUGAUUAUUUUCCAUUUUCCCCACUUUAUGAAUAUUAGAGUGGUUUUCUUUUGCAAUGUGGCUUGGCCUGCAUUUCAAAGUCCACAUUUUGAGUGGUUCCCUGUGAUUUUUGGACACUUGGCAUUUUCUGGGUCCAACUCAGAGAACUGUUUGAUUUUCAAAUAUUCAGAGCAUUCUCAAAGCCUGUUAAGUACAGACAAUACUUUCAGUGUUCUUUAGGUCCUUUAGGCUUAUUUUUUCAUUAACCCAAAACUGAGGUAAAAAAAAUCCUGUGUUCUAUGAAUUCCACAGUGUUGUGCAGAGAAGGGCAGUGGGAAAACUGAGUUAAAUGCAGGAUUCAAGUUUUUCUGACUCUUGCACAACUUGUUGUCUAAUGGACCCCAUAGGCUCUCAGCAAUACCAGCUGUCUCUAAAAUUCAACCAACAGUGGAAAUGACUACCGCUGUUCUGUCCAUGGAAAGCAUGAAAAGGUUAUUUAAAAAAAAAAAAAAAAGAGUGGCUUGCUUAGAUAUCACACAAAUGUAUUUGCUUUUUUUUUACUUAGUGAAAAGGCUGUAUUAUAAAAGUAAACUUUUCAAAACAGAAAAAGUAGGUAUCAAAUACAGGAAAGAAACAAAAAGACUAUAAAGUAAUCUUUACAAAAGCAGAUUGCACUGACACUGUCUUGCUCACAGUAACACACAAAGUAAUUUCAUAAAACCCAGCUUUUAUCUUGUUCUAAUAAAACAUCAAGCUAGCAACAUUAUGGUGAGGGCUUUCAUUUUCUUUUUGAUAUAGAUUCUGAUUGGAAGUAUUAGCUGAUGCAGCAGGAUAAAUAAAGAAAUGCCUAGAUUGUUAUGGUUCCC
ensembl:lncRNA